GAUUUAAUUUUAUUAAUUUAUUUUAUAUAUAUAUAUAUAUAUAAAUAUUAAAAAUAGUUAUAAAAUAUAAAUUUUUAGUAUUAAUUUAAGAAAAAAUAAUUUUAAUAAUAGUUUAUUAGUAUUGAAAAAGAAAAUUGAAAUAAUAUGAAAAAUUUUAAUUGAAAAAGAAAAAUUUAUAUUUUGUACCUUGUGUAUCAGGGUUUAUUAAAUAUAAUUUAUUUAUAUAUAAAUUUCUCGAUUUUAAAAGAUUUAAUAUAUUAAUAAAUAUAAAGUAAUAAAUUUAUUUUUAAUAAUAUAUUUGAAAUGAAAUGUUUUUCGUUUUUAAAGGUAUCUAGUUUAUUAAGAAAUAAAUUUAAUUUAUAAAUUUUAUAUUAUUUAUUUUAUUUAUAUUAAAUAAAUAAUUAUUUAAUUUAAUUAUUUUAUGGGAUAAGCUAUAAAAUAAAGUUUUAAAAAGUUAUUAUAGUUCAUAAAAUAUAAUCUUAAAAUUAUUCAAUAUUAAAAAAAAUGUAAUAAUUUAUUAUUAUUUAAGAAUAAUUUAUUUAAAUUUAAAUUAUUUAUUAAUAUAUAAUUUUUAAUAUAAUAUAAUUAGAAAUAUUGAUAAAAUUAGUAUAAUAUUUUGUAUAAGUAAAAUUAAAUUAUAAAUUUUAUUAAAGAAUUCGGCAAAUGUAUAUAUUCACCUGUUUAACAAAAACAUCUCUUUAUGAUUAAAUAUAAGGUUUAACCUGCCCACUGAAUUUUUAAAUGGCUGCAGUAUAUUGACUGUACAAAGGUAGCAUAAUCAUUAGUUUUUUAAUUGAAAACUGGAAUGAAUGGUUGGAUGAAAUAUAAACUGUUUCAAUAAAAAUUUAUUAGAAUUUUAUUUUUUAGUAAAAAAGCUAAAAUAAAUUUAAAAGACGAGAAGACCCUAUAAAUCUUUAUAUAAAAUGUAAAUAUUAAUUAUUUAGAAGAUUUUAAAGUAUUUAUAUUUUAUAUUUUAUUGGGGAGAUAGUAAAAUUUAAUAAACUUUUAUAUAAAAUAAUUCAUUAAUUUAUGAAUUUUUGAUUAAUUAUUAAUGAAUAAUAAAAUAAGUUACUUUAGGGAUAACAGCGUAAUUAUUUUGGAGAGUUCAUAUUGAUAAAAUAGAUUGCGACCUCGAUGUUGGAUUAAGAAAAAGAUUAGGUGUAGAAGCUUAAUAAUUAAGUCUGUUCGACUUUUAAAUUCUUACAUGAUCUGAGUUCAAACCGGUGUAAGCCAGGUUGGUUUCUAUCUUUAAAAAAUUAUAAUAUUAUAGUACGAAAGGAUUUAAUAUUAAAUAAAUUAUUAUUAUAUAAAUUGAAUAUUAUUAAUAUUAAAUACUAUUUUGGCAGAUUAGUGCAAUAAAUUUAG
rnacentral:rRNA from 1 species